CACGGGGGGAGCAAGCGUUGUUCGGAAUUACUGGGCGUAAAGCGUCCGCAGGUGGCUAUUCAAGUCUGCGGUCAAAGACUGGGGCUUAACCCUGGAAAGGCCGUGGAAACUGAAGAGCUAGAGUGCAGUAGGGGUAGAGGGAAUUCCCGGUGUAGCGGUGAAAUGCGUAGAGCUCGGGAAGAACAUCGGUGGCGAAAGCGCUCUGCUGGACUGCAACUGACACUCAGGGACGAAAGCUAGGGGAGCGAAUGGG
rnacentral:rRNA from 1 species